CACGUAGGGUGCGAGCGUUGUCCGGAAUUAUUGGGCGUAAAGAGCUCGUGGGCGGUGUGUCGCGUCGGCCGUGAAAACCUGCAGCUUAACUGUGGGCUUGCGGUCGAUACGGGCAUCACUGGAGUUCGGCAGGGGAGACUGGAAUUCCUGGUGUAGCGGUGAAAUGCGCAGAUAUCAGGAGGAACACCGAUGGCGAAGGCAGGUCUCUGGGCCGAUACUGACGCUGAGGAGCGAAAGCGUGGGGAGCGAACAGG
rnacentral:rRNA from 1 species